AGCAGCCGCGGUAAUUCCAGCUCCAAUAGCGUAUAUUAAAGUUGUUGCAGUUAAAAAGCUCGUAGUUGAAUUUCGGGAUCAGUACGCCGGUCGUGCCUUCGGUAUGCACUGGUGUCACUGGUUUCUCCCUUCUGAAGAACCAUCAUGCCAUUCAGUUGGUGUGGCGGGGAAUCAGGACUGUUACUUUGAAAAAAUUAGAGUGUUUAAAGCAGGCUCGCGCUUGAAUACAUUAGCAUGGAAUAAUGAAAUAGGACGUUUGACCCUAUUUUGUUGGUUUCUAGGAUCGACGUAAUGAUUAAUAGGGAUAGUUGGGGGCAUUAGUAUUCAAUUGUCAGAGGUGAAAUUCUUGGAUUUAUUGAAGACUAACUACUGCGAAAGCAUUUGCCAAGGAUGUUUUCAUUAAUCAAGAACGAAAGUUAGGGGAUCGAAGACGAUCAGAUACCGUCGUAGUCUUAACCAUAAACUAUGCCGACUAGGGAUCGGAUGAUGUUAAUUUUUUAAUGACUCAUUCGGCGCCUUA
rnacentral:ncRNA from 2 species